CUCGAUUUUCUCCGGAGCUUCGACGGCGGCGAUUGGACGGAGGUGAGUUGCACGGUGAGUGAGUGUGGAAGAUGAAGCACCACCAAAGCGGGAUGGGAACUCGAUUGCGGUGGUUCGGGUAGGGAAGUGAUUGGCGGAAGCGAGUGUGGGAUAUGAUGAAGAACGGAUUGAGCUAGCGAUUGAGAGAGUCGUCGACGCCAUUGCUCACUCUUUUAGCUUCUUCGGAUUUGCUUUUCGCUCUCUGUGUUGUUGUUGUGUUUGAUUGGAUUAAAGGAGGAAGAUGAAAUAUGAGGGAUAAAAAAAAAAGGAUAAGGGGUAAUUUAGGAAUUAAAUUAAAGCGUACGUUUGAUAUCAUGCGCUGAUUCGUGUAUAGCCAUAGAUGAGGUUGGACAGGUUUGUGUUUUGACGAAAUUACCCUUGAAGUUGAGGAGUUUGUAAAAAAUAAAGGGGCGUUCCGAGAAUCGAACUCGGGACCUCUCGCACCCAAAGCGAGAAUCAUACCACUAGACCAAACGCCCUUAUUGUUAUAAUUUCAUUAUUAAAUUUAUAUACGUGUUUAUUUACUAAUUGAGGUUAUUAAUAGCAAGAUUUAUUUUACAUUAUAGUAUCCCUUUUCAUAGACUUUGUUGUAUCAAAGUUUGUAAUGGAAACAUUUAUGCAUUUUAAAAGAAGCAUAUUAAUAAUGGUAUACCAAAUGUGUAAUCACAUCGAGUAGUUUGGACUCUCAUUUCUAUAUUUUCCCCACCAAUAAUACAAACAACAGCAAGUUCCAUUUUCAAUGAAUCCAACACCUUUCGUUUUAAAAGCACUUGAAAAGGGGUUGGUUCUCACCAUCUACGGCGUCUCCUUCCAUACCAAAACGCAAACGCAGCUACAGAUGCAGCUACAACGACUCCAGUAGCUGCGUGCCAUACGUACAAAGGUUUUUUCAUCAUCACCACGCUUGAAGACUGCUUCACCAUCUCAGAGCUCGGAGUAUCCUUAACUUCAGGAACUAUCUGCUGACUCACCACUGUCUCAGCAAACUUGAGUCCUUCUUUUUCCAAUUCUUCCAAAUCAAUGGUCACAGCUGGUUUCAGUUUUGUCGCCUUUGAGAUGAUUUCAUAUUCUUCUUUAGUCCCUCCUUCAAGAAAAGAUCCAACGAGGUGACCCUUCUUGACCCAAUAUGCUCCAAACGAUUUCCCGUCUUCAUAAUCUCCAAAGUGAACAACUUCACCUGUAGGGUCUCCAUAGAAUUGCCAUGAGAAGGCGAAGACCCUUGAGUAGAAGAACGGCAAAUAGUCAAAUUCUCCGGUCUUGACAGGAUCCAUGAUGCUUGAAACUGCGUGCCGCGCAGAUUUCCUAGCCGAGUCCACGUGCUCAAGCCUCCUCAUUUCGCCAAAUAGUUUCACUGGAAAUGUAGCUACAUCGCCUAUUGCAUACACUGAGCUGUCACUUGACUGCAUUUUGCUGUUCACCUUUAUCCCUCCUUUCUCUAUUGUUAACUGUCCUUCAAACAAGCUUGUGUUUG
rnacentral:lncRNA from 1 species